rnacentral:pre_miRNA from 1 species
UAGGGUAACCAACUGUCCCAGUUUGCCUGGGGCUCUUGCAGUUCUGGAAUUGGAAGCCCCUGGCAAACAGAGCUGGCUGGUCACCCUGGACCACU